CAGGAUGAACGCUAGCUACAGGCUUAACACAUGCAAGUCGAGGGGCAGCAUGAUCGAAGCUUGCUUGAUGAUGGCGACCGGCGCACGGGUGAGUAACGCGUAUCCAACCUUCCCUAUAGUAGAGAAUAGCCCGGCGAAAGUCGGAUUAAUGCUCUAUGUUGUAUUUAGAGGACAUCUGAAGAAUACCAAAAGGUUUACCGCUAUAGGAUGGGGAUGCGUCUGAUUAGGUUGUUGGCGGGGUAACGGCCCACCAAGCCCACGAUCAGUAGGGGUUCUGAGAGGAAGGUCCCCCACAUUGGAACUGAGACACGGUCCAAACUCCUACGGGAGGCAGCAGUGAGGAAUAUUGGUCAAUGGACGCAAGUCUGAACCAGCCAAGUAAGCGUGCAGGAUGACGGCCCUAUGGGUUGUAAACUGCUUUUAUACAGGGAUAAAGUGAGGGACGUGUCCCUUUUUGUAGGUACUGUAUGAAUAAGGACCGGCUAAUUCCGUGCCAGCCGCCGC
rnacentral:rRNA from 1 species